AAAAAACGUAAAUCAGAAGCUCUGCUAGGCUAAAUUGCGAGAAUCCCAGUUGAGAAGACUUGGCUUGUACUAUUAUAUGGAGAGGUUUGAAAUUUUGCAGAUCUUGAAGCUUUUGAUCUGCCAUAUUCUUUCCUCUCAUCCAUCAUUAUUUGCCUCGACCUACACUCUUCACUGCAAAACCCUGUUUCCCCUCUGAAACAAACGAACAAG